UACGUAGGGGGGCAAGCGUUAUCCGGAAUACUGGGCGUAAAGCGCACGCAGGCGGUUCGCCAAGUUUGGAGUGACAGUUGUCGGCUCAACCGACAAAGGACUUCAAAAACUGGUGAACAUUGAGGACGAGAGAGGAACAUGGAACUCCAGGUGUAGUAGUGAAAUGCGUAGAUAUCUGGAAGAACACCAAUGGCGAAGGCAAUGUUCUGGCUCGUUUCUGACGCUCAGGUGCGAAAGCCAGGGGAGCGAACGGG
rnacentral:rRNA from 1 species